GGGAGGUGAUUGGAUCAUGGGAACGGAUUUCCUCCUUGCUGUUCUCACGCUAGUGAGUGAGUUCUCACGAGAUCCGAGCAUUUAAUAGUGUGUGGCUCCUCCUGCUUCGCUCUCCUGCUGCCAUAGGAAGGUGUGCUUGCUACUCCUUUGCCUUCUGCCAUGAUUGUGAGUUUCCUGAGACCUCCUAGUCAUGCUUCCUGUUCAGCCUGCAGAACUCUUCCAGUAAACUUUUAAAAUGAAAAAGAAGGCAAGAUUAAAUAAUCUCAACUAUGUGACUGCUUAAAUGGGGAAUGAAAUCAAUUCUUCACAUCUAUGGAAAAACAAGUGAGCCAGGGUUGUGAUUCCAACUGGAUAAAGAAUGAACGUGGAAUUAUUAAUGUGAUGUAACAGAGGAAGAAAUAAGUUUAAUUGAUCAAGUAUUUGCUCAGUAUGUACUAGGAGCCUGGAAAUUGAAGAGUUUUAUCUCUUGGAAUUCCUUAAGAAAAACCUUGGCUUAAUAAUUUAAAUGUUUUCAUGUCUGAAGCAGGAAAAUGAAUUAGCUAUUACAGGUGCAUUCUUGUUCUUUGAUGCUUACUUGUUAGGACAUAGGCCACCCUUCACUGCUAGUAAUGUGUUCUUAGACAGAAUUAAAAUUGAGCCCACAUCACAUUCUCACAGCCAAACUUGUAAAUCUAUCCUUUAAAGCUCAAAUUUCUGUUUUGAUUAGAUGCAAAACAUUCAGAUGAUUUAUGAUUGUUUAAUUAAAAGAAAUCAGUGAAAUAAAAACAAAUUAAACUGUUUUAAUUGCUUUUGGGUUCAAUUAAUCAACUAUUGCCUACUUGAUGUAUCUACCAACAUUAACACAAGGAAAUAUAUUCAUUAGUUUCAUUCACUUGCUAUUGAAAUGAGACUUUAUUAUUUCUCAUUGAUCUCCUGCCAGGAUGGCGAUAUUUUACUCUUCAACAAUGUACACUGAUAUCAAAGUUGGGAAAAGGUUUCUAUCCUGAAUGUUUGAAAAUGAACCAAUUAACUACACGACCCUAAACCUUUCAGAAUUUUUUCCCCAUUCUAUUAAAAAAAAAAUCAUACAAAGGUUACCCAUGUAUAAUCUUAGUUCUUCAAACUGGUUAUUGCAAC
rnacentral:lncRNA from 1 species